CACGUAGGGCGCGAGCGUUGUCCGGAAUUAUUGGGCGUAAAGCGCACGUAGGCGGCUUUUUAAGUCAGAGGUGAAAUCCUGGAGCUCAACUCCAGAACUGCCUUUGAUACUGGAGAGCUUGAGUCCGGGAGAGGUGAGUGGAACUGCGAGUGUAGAGGUGAAAUUCGUAGAUAUUCGCAAGAACACCAGUGGCGAAGGCGGCUCACUGGCCCGGUACUGACGCUGAGGUGCGAAAGCGUGGGGAGCAACAGG
rnacentral:rRNA from 1 species